rnacentral:lncRNA from 1 species
UGGUGUUGUCUGUGAAUACUUGACCUGACUGUAGUCUGUUUGUUGGUUGUUGUGUUUGAAUGAAUACCUGUUUUGGUAGUAUUCUGUUUGUUGAAAAGUUGUUCAUUUAAGCCGGUUCAUUAACUAUGGCUUCUAGCACAAACAUUGGUGCCUCUCCUGCUGUAGACUCUUCUAGUCCCCUUUUUGUGUACUCGUCUGAUGUCCCUGGGGUAUCACUUGUUCCCA